rnacentral:rRNA from 1 species
UACGUAGGGGGCAAGCGUUGUCCGGAAUUAUUGGGCGUAAAGCGCGUGUAGGCGGUCCGGUAAGUCGGUUGUGAAAGUCCAGGGCUCAACCCUGGGAUGCCGAUCGAUACUGCCGGACUAGAGUCCGGAAGAGGCGAGUGGAAUUCCCGGUGUAGCGGUGAAAUGCGCAGAUAUCAGGAAGAACACCUAUGGCGAAGGCAGCUCUCUGGGACGGUACUGACGCUGAGACGCGAAAGCGUGGGGAGCGAACAGG